rnacentral:rRNA from 1 species
GUAGAACACCAAUUGCGAAGGCAGCUUACUAAACCAUUAUUGACGCUGAUGGACGAAAGCGUGGGGAGCGAACAGGAUUAGAUACCCUGGUAGUCCACGCCGUAAACGAUGAUUACUCGUUGUGCACAAUACACCGUGCGUGACUGAGCGAAAGCAUUAAGUAAUCCACCUGGGGAGUACGUUCGCAAGAAUGAAACUCAAAGGAAUUGACGGGGGCCCGCACAAGCGGAGGAACAUGUGGUUUAAUUCGAUGAUACGCGAGGAACCUUACCUGGACUUAAAUGUAGAUUGACCGGUUUAGAAAUAGAUCUUUCCUUCGGGACAAUUUACAAGGUGCUGCAUGGUUGUCGUCAGCUCGUGCCGUGAGGUGUCGGGUUAAGUCCCAUAACGAGCGCAACCCCUAUCGUUAGUUGCUAGCAGGUAAUGCUGAGGACUCUAGCGAGACUGCCACCGUAAGGUGAGAGGAAGGUGGGGAUGACGUCAAAUCAGCACGGCCCUUACGUCCAGGGCUACACACGUGUUACAAUGGCCAGUACAAAGGGCAGCUACCAGGUGACUGGAUGCUAAUCUCAAAAGCUGGUCUCAGUUCGGAUCGGAGUCUGCAACUCGACUCCGUGAAGUUGGAUUCGCUAGUAAUCGUAUAUCAGCAAUGAUACGGUGAAUACGUUCCCGGGCCUUGUACACACCGCCCGUCAAGCCAUGGAAGCCGAGGGUGCCUGAAGUACGUUACCGCAAGGAGCGUCCUAGGGUAAAAUUGGUAACUGGGGCUAAGUCGUAACAAGGUAACCGUA